AAUCAGGUGGGAUACAAGAUAACAGUGGCCAUGACGACAAUGUCAACGGUGACUCACCAGGAGCUUGCUCAGUGCCGGCAACGGUGAGCUCUGAGUUCUCUUUUAUUAGAAUUUUUUAUCUGCCCAAGUAACUCAAGCUCUCAGAACAAGUUAAACAAUACAGAGACAUAGAAAGAAAAACCUGCCGUCAGCCAUCCUGCAAGGCCUCCUCCCUUCCCCAGCGCUGCCAGGCAAGCAUGCAAUCCUUCCGGACACCGACACACAGAACCCCAGCUCUCCUUCGGGUGCGAUCCUGUGAUCCGGAGAGGCCCAGCCAUGUGUCUCAGGUCCCCACGGGUCAGAGGCUGCAGGCCCAGCCUGGCUGUCCUCUCCCGUUGGCACCUGCCAGCCUGCGGGAGACACACAUCCAGGAAGACCACUGAGUCCUGUUCCUUGACCACAGGAGGGAAACUGAGGCCCAGAGAAGGCAGGUGACAUCCGACAUCACAUGGUGACUCGACGGCCGAGACAGGGCUGUGGAGAUGGAACCCCUUGCGCCCACGACUGGACGGUUCACGGGGUUCUGUCGUACCUACCACAUUCACUCACUCAUUCGUUCGCUCAUUCAGGCCCAAACCCCCUGGGCUCUGUGUUCACAUCCUCCGGCUGCUGCAACAAAGGAUUACAAGCUUCAGCAUGCAAGAACGUGAACCCGUUUCCUUGCAGGUCUGGAGGCCGGAGUUUGAAGUGGGUCGGCGGGGUGGCUCCUUCCAGAGGCUCCAGGGGGGACCCGCGUCCUCGUCUUCCCACCUUCCCUGUGAUGACAUCUAGGGUCCACUCAGAUAUUCCAGGAUAAUCUCCCAUCUCAGGAUCUUUAACUUGAUCCCAUCAGCAAAGUCCCCUUUGCCAUGGAAGGUCACAUAGCCAGAGGUUCUGGAGAUGAGGACACAGACAUCCUUGGGUGUGAUUCUCCAAAGGAGGCAGCCCAGGGCUGUGGAUAGCAAAUCGGUCAGGAUUCAUUCAGUUCAAGUUUCGGAACCUUCCUUCCAGAAGGCAGUAAACGAUAAGGCCACUUAGUAUCUCCCUCGGCAGGAAAUCUAGCCAAAGGGUGGCUCCAGGGGGGUUCACGUGCAGGCUCAAGAACAACAGCAUUAAGGACACAGGCUCUUUCUCCCCGUCGUCGUCAUCCUCAUCUUCAGUUCCUCCUGGUCCCAAGAGAGCUGCUACAGCUCCAGGUGUCACGUCCUCACACAUGCUUGACCAAACAGGCCAGCAGGAGAGCCUCGCUGACGCUUCACCACCUUUUAAGGGCUUGCCGGCUCAGCUCAGGCCUACCCAGAUAAUCUCCGUUGAUUAAGUCAAACUCAACUGAUUAAGGGCCGAACCAUCAUAUUCACACUCAAGAGGAGGGAGUUAAUCAAGGGUUUGGUCACCGGCGGUCAUCUGAUAGUCCUGUCUGUCCGUGGAGAAGUGAGUGACGGCUGCCCAGUACACACUUGCCUGCCUGGGACACACCCUCCCCAGCCCGCCCCUCGCACAGGGCCUGCCUUCUCGUCCUCCCAUCUGAGCUGAGCCCCUGCUUCUUCCAGAAAGUCCUGCCUGAGCCCCGAGGCAGGUCAGAAGCCCCCUCGGGCCCCACCACAUGCUUCCUCCAUCUCCUGCAUCUCCCGGGCUGCCGCAGCUCCACAGACAUCAUUCUGCAGAGCCUGCACGGCAGCCGUAGCGGGAGGGACUGCCACCGCCAUUCACAGGCCAAGGGGACUUGGGAGGGGAAGAUGGCUUCCUGAGGUCAGGUGGGGACACCUGGUCAACCCGACCCCUGAUUCUGGGGUUGAGGCCAGGCCCAGGAGGGC
rnacentral:lncRNA from 1 species